AUCUUAACCCAUCCAAUAUUGGCCAUUCAUAGGACUCUGAACUUUGGAUAAGAUUAUGAGAACACUAGCCAUACAAUUGAAAAAAAUAAUAAUAAUAAUAUGAGAGGCAACUAGCCACUUGCCCACUUCAUACGUAUGACUUGGUUCAUAUGCUGCCAUAGAAAAAUAGAUAAACUUCAAUUAUUUGCAUAUUUGUUACCAUUAAAGAUAUCCACAAUUAUUGAUGUGGUAAGAUAAACACAGGAAAGGACAAGACAUUCUAUCCACAAAAAAGAAAGAAGAUGAACAAAACUGAGAAAUCCAACACUGCUUGCUAUCGUUUUCAGUAGAGUACUACCUUAUUGAUGUAUCUAUAUUAUUUUUUUGGCUUUCAAACAAAGCUUAUGAAUUCAAUCCUAAAGUUUAAGGAGACAGUCAAUGGCAAUUUGGAAUUGAGUUUUGCAACAGAAAAGAAAAACCAAGCA
rnacentral:misc_RNA from 1 species